AUCGCUUCUCGGCCUUUUGGCUAAGAUCAAGUGUAGUAUCUGUUCUUAUCAGUUUAAUAACUUGUACGUGUACUUCACAUUCUUACUACACAUUCAUAUGCACAUAAAAUGUUAUAAACUUAA
rnacentral:snRNA from 1 species